CAGAAGCAUCAAGGAGCAUUUCAGCCCUCACAGUGUUGUGCGUGAUCCUGGGGAUGCUGCUGUGCCUGGCCCUGGCCGCCCUGGCUGUGCAGGCACACCGCGCACGGGCCCAGUGCCAAGGCCCCAGCAAGGACGCCACUUCCGAGGUUGUGUAUGAGGAGCUUGACUACAGCCUGAUGCCCAAGUACCAGGAGGUGCCCAGCCACACAGGCUCCCUGUCCCAAGGCUCAUAAACAAAGAUGGCAGAUCACCCCAGGGAUGGCACUGAGGAGAAUGACCUCCAGGUGUCCUCAGACCCCCUUGCCCAGCCCCAGCACAGACCCUCGCAUGGCUACGACGAUGCUAUGGCUGUGCCGGAGGUGUUCCACUCUCCCCACACCGGGGAUGUCCUGGCACAGCCCCCCGAGGACAUGAGCUGUGAUGACAUUGGUGUCAGCAUCCUGGGGACAUCACUGUGAGCAGGCCCUGGAGACGUGGCUUGAACAGGGAUAUCUGUCCCCAAGAAGGGGUGGCUCUAGUCAUGGCAGCAUCACCUCUCCCUGCCUGGCGCUGCAGAACAGCAGCAACCUGCUCCAUUCUCCUACCUGCACCUGUAACACAACAGCUUGUCAGCUUUUUUGAAAUUAUUUUCUGUAACUCUUCCUUUAUAUCUUCUUUAUUAAAACCCCAAAUAUGUGUAGAAAUGAUUCCAGCCUUGGCUCCUCUACCUGAGUUCAUUGACCAUCCCUCAGGGCAGUGGGGAAAAGCUGGAUUUCAGAGAUAUCUCCGUUGGCUCUGGGCACCGGGGAAACAACGGGAAGAGUGGGAAAGCUCAUGGAGAUGAGGUGGGAUGGCUCCCAGGACUGCUGCACUGCAGGGGAAGGAUAACAAGGACCGCGUGUCCCACAGGCACACAGGUGCAGGCACGCUGCCACACGCUGUGGUUUCACCCGGCAGGCAGCUGAGCAGCACCCGGCCGUUCGCUCACUCCGCCCCUGCCCCCAGUGUGCAAUGCGGGAGAGAGCUGUAAACAAACUCGUGGGGCGAGAUACAAGCGGAAAAGGACAGAAAGGGAAAACAGUCACAGACAUUCAGAUGAUAACUGUACAUGCAUGUAUCUCCACACAAAUUCACAGCCUUUGCACAGACGUUUUGAUAAGCAAACCUGAGUAAGCUGACUCUCACCCUGCGCUUGCUGGUAGGAUCUCCUCUUCUGAGGACACCUCUGUUGUGGGUGGGAAGAGGACACAUGGUAAAGAGCUCCCUCUGAAACAAGAGACAUCGUAUCAGGGGCCUGAGUCUCCUCCUGCACCUGUCUGUUCCUGUACUCUGUAAGGACCUGCAGUGGCUGAGGACAGGAUUCACAUCCCUGCUGUACGUUCCUGAUGGAAGGUGCCAAGCAGCUGUCCCUGGAGUUUUCAUUAAGUCCUGGAAUGGGUUGUCCUUACUUAUCUGCUCUAUGCCAGUGCUGGGUGCCGCUGCCAGGAGGAAUGACAGCCUCCUGGCUGGCAGCGCAUGUCCCUCCCUAGUAAGCAAGGCCUUCCCGCCGGGGCCUCUCAGCUGGGCCCAGAGCCCUGCUGCAGAGCUGGCUGGUGCUGCCCGCAGAGCUGUAGGCCUGGCCCUGCUGAGCCCUGCUCUGGGGCUCCUGCUGCCUCAUGGGCCCUGCUCCAGAAGGUUGGUAGCCCGUGUUGGUGCUCUCGUGGCAGGGCAGUGCCAGAGCUCUGCAGCACGAGCACAACAGGGUGGGAGCAUUGCCCUGGGCCCUUCUGGCAUUCCUGUCCUGCACACUGCAGCCCUGCACCCUCAGCAGGAGCCCAGCCCCACAGCCGUGUUCUCAGGAGCCCCUGGUGCCCAUUGAGCCAUGUGGCCACUCACAGACCCUGCAGCGGGGCCAGGCGCA